rnacentral:rRNA from 1 species
GACGAACGCUGGCGGCGUGCUUAACACAUGCAAGUCGAACGAGAAGAGAUGAGAAGCUUGCUUCUUAUUGAUUCGAGUGGCAAACGGGUGAGUAACGCGUAAGCAACCUGCCCUUCAGAUGGGGACAACAGUUGGAAACGACUGCUAAUACCGCAUGAUGCAUGAUCAGGGCAUCCUGGACAUGCCAAAGAUUUAUCGCUGAAAGAUGGCCUCGCGUCUGAUUAGCUAGUUGGUGAGGUAACGGCCCACUAAGGCGACGAUCAGUAGCCGGACUGAGAGGUUGACCGGCCACAUUGGGACUGAGAUACGGCCCAG